GGAAGAGUGGCUGAGUGGUUGAAGGCACCGGUUUCGAAAACCGGCAUAGGCGUAAGCCUAUCGUGGGUCCAAAUCCCACCUCUUCCGCCA
rnacentral:tRNA from 1 species